rnacentral:rRNA from 1 species
AUUGAACGCUGGCGGCAGGCUUAACACAUGCAAGUCGAGCGGAGAGAGGUAGCUUGCUACUGAUCUUAGCGGCGGACGGGGGAGUAAUGCGUAGGAAGCUGCCCGAUAGAGGGGGAUACCAGUUGUAAACGACGGUUAAUACCGCAUAAUGUGUACGGACCAAAGUGUGGGACCUUCGGGCCACAUGCUAUCGGAUGCGCCUACGUGGGAUUAGCUAGUUGGUGAGGUAUGGCUCACCAAGGCGACGAUAUCUAGCUGGUUUGAGAGGAUGAUCAGCCACACUGGAACUGAGACACGGUCCAGACUCCUACGGGAGGCAGCAGUGGGGAAUAUUGGACAAUGGGCGCAAGCCUGAUCCAGCCAUGCCGCGUGUGUGAAGAAGGCCUUCGGGUUGUAAAGCACUUUCAGCGAGGAGGAAGGGUGGUGUGUUAAUAGCACAUUAUUUUGACGUUACUCGCAGAAGAAGCACCGGCUAACUCUGUGCCAGCCGCCGCCGUAAAAC